rnacentral:rRNA from 1 species
ACGGAAGGCAGCAGUGGGGAAUAUUGGGCAAUGGGCGAAAGCCUGACCCAGCAACGCCGCGUGAAGGAAGAAGGUCUUCGGGUUGUAAACUUCUUUUAUCAGGGACGAAGGAAGUGACGGUACCUGAUGAAUAAGCCACGGCUAACUACGUGCCAGCAGCCGCGGUAAUACGUAGGUGGCAAGCGUUAUCCGGAUUUACUGGGUGUAAAGGGCGCGUAGGCGGGGAUGCAAGUCAGAUGUGAAAUCUAUGAGCUUAACUCAUAAACUGCAUUUGAAACUGUAUCUCUUGAGUGUCGGAGAGGUAGAUGGAAUUCCUAGUGUAGCGGUGAAAUGCGUAGAUAUUAGGAGGAACACCAGUGGCGAAGGCGAUCUACUGGACGAUAACUGACGCUGAGGCGCGAAAGCGUGGGGAGCAAACAGGAUUAGAUACCCUGGUA